GGCGUAACUUCCGGGUUUAUAAAAGUUGUCAACAGUUUGCUAAAUAGAAAAACAUGUAGCUAGAUACUGAGACCAGAACCGUUCUUUUAUAGCUGAAUGAGGAAGCUACCCGUAUUUUUCCAGCAGAGAAAGAGAGACGGGGGAAGGAGUGACUGAAGACAGACAGACGGCGCCGCUGCGGAAAGCAGAAGUAGUUAGUUACAGUAGUUAACUAGCUAGCCAGAAUGUUUAGCUACUGUAGCUAGUUAGCUAACUUGUAUGGUGAUAAGUAUAAGUACCAGGCCAGCUAAAAACGGGCUGGUGUGUGUGAGCCUGCUCUCCCUCUCCGCGGCUACACUACUGAUGCCGGUCUCGGCCGGGGCUCCAUGGAAGAGCUGCUAGCACAGGACGGAACAAGGAACGUGACUGCAACCGAGGCUCACCCCUGCCCGGGCAAGCCCUCUGCCCAUCUCUCUGGUCCAACGGGAUAUUAUUACCGUGGGGUGAGCCUGGAAACGGGAGUUACGGCCGACCGACCGAGCGGCGAUGGGAUGUUCGAAAGACACGGUUGAAACCCCUGGAACCUGCUUCUCCCGCUACAGAAUCCGGGUAGAGAUCCAGGACAAGAUGAGUGGGGGGAAGAAGAGGAGUGGCUUCCAGAUUACUAGUGUGACGUCAGACUACACGCAGAGCUCUGGGGAAGCCCCACCCCAUGUUCAGGCCUCUAGCCAAUCAAAUCCCUCCCUUCAGUCCUCCAGCCAAUCCACUGAUUCCUCCCAGCCUGGCCUCUCCCACCAGCAGGGAUGUUUCUCCCAGCCGACGACUCCCCUCUCUCUGAGGAAAUCCAACUCACAAGAUGCUGUGGGGCAGGGGUCCAGGUUUCGAGUUGUCAGAUUGGGCCAGGGCCAUGGAGGACCCUAUUGCCGGGGGCGGUGGACCUGUACGGACUAUUUGGAACGAGAGGAAGCGGUGGGGCCUAGAUGGGUGAUGGACAGCAUGAGACACGCCCACUCUCUGGAGUCCCUGGAGGGGAUUGGUCUACAGAGGGCUGGGGGAGGGGCUGGAGGCGAGCUGCUGGGGCACAUGCGCACUCUCAGGACAGGACACCUUGUUCACUCUCAGGGUACCUCCCACUUGCUGGCCCAGCCAAUAGGGUCAGACGUGGAGGGGUUUGGAGGGCUGAAGCCUCUCCUCCACAGCGACCCGCCCAACCCCACACACCUGGAAAGAUUCAACUUGCGAGUGGUCGACUCCAUGCCCCCCCUGCCCAGCCCCCGCCCACGGAACAUCCCACCCCCUCUACGCCUGGAUGUGGACGCUACCGGGAGGGUGAAAACACACAGACAAUACACAUAUACACACACAGACAAUACACAUAUACACAUAACCACACACAGACAAUACACACAGACAAUACACAUAUACACACACCUUCCUACAUUCCCAAGCAGAGGUUUGUUGAUAGCAUGUGUAAGUAAGUCUCCCCCUGUCUCCCUCUCUCUCCCCCUGUCUCCCUCUCUCUCCCCCUGUCUCCCUCUCUCUCCCCCUGUCUCCCUCUCUCUCCCCCUGUCUCCCUCUCUCUCCCUCUCUCUCUCCCCCUGUCUCCCUCUCUCUCUCCCCCUGUCUCCCUCUCUGUCUCCCCCUGUCUCCCUCUCUCUCUCCCCCUGACUCCCUCUCUCUCUCCCCCUGACUCCCUCUCUCUCUCCCCCUGUCUCCCUCUCUCUCUCCCCCUGUCUCCCUCUCUCUCUCUCCCUCUCUCUCUCCCCCUGUCUCUCUCUCCCUCUCUCUCUCCCCCUCUCUCUCCCUCUCUCUCUCCCCCUCUCUCCCCCUGUCUCCCCCUCUCUCUCUCCCCCUGUCUCCCUCUCUCUCUCUCCCCCCUCUGUAUCUGUAAAGUUAAAUUACUUAUAUUGUCAAAGGAUGACAUGACCUGGUAGUAGACCAGUGUCAACAUGACUGAGAAAACACAUGACCUGGUAGUAGACCAGUGUCAACAUGACUGAGAAGACACAUGACCUGGUAGUAGACCAGUGUCAACAUGACUGAGAAGACACAUGACCUGGUAGUAGACCAGUGUCAACAUGACUGAGAAGACACAUGACCUGGUAGUAGACCAGUGUCAACAUGACUGAGAAGACACAUGACCUGGUAGUAGACCAGUGUCAACAUGACUGAGAAGACACAUGACCUGGUAUGAAAGACCAAACAAAACCAGAUUGUUGACGUUACAUUUCACUUUUCACUGACUGUCCCUCAGGUUGUGGCAGGAGGACAUGUUUGGCUUCUAAAACUGCACAUUUUGACUUUUCACCCAAUACAUAUUAGAUUUAUUUUCUUAAUCUUUUAUAGUUUGAAAUUCUUUAUAUUGAAUUAUAAUUUUGGGAAAGGAAGAUUCUCUUAGGUCUGAGUAUUUGUCACAGUGUCAUAGGAAAUGCAGCUCUGUCUCUACCUCUCCCCUGGAGCAGAGUGAGCACGGACUGUCCUCUCUGGGCAGCCAGGUUGGUCUGUGACGACCGGUCUCUAUAGCCAGACUGUCCUCUCUGGGCAGCCAGGUUGGUCUGUGACGACCGGUCUCUAUAGCCAGACUGUCCUCCCUGGGCAACCAGACUUUCCUCCCUGGGCAUCCAGGUUUGUCUGUGAUGACUGGUCUCUAUAGCCAGACUGUCCUCUCUGGGUAGCCAGGUUGGUCUGUGACGACCGGUCUCUAUAGCCAGACUGUUCUCUCUGGGCAGCCAGGUUGGUCUGUGACAACCGGUCUCUAUAGCCAGACUGUUCUCUCUGGGUAGCCAGGUUGGUCUGUGACAACCGGUCUCUAUAGCCAGACUGUCCUCUCUGGGCAGCCAGGUUUGUCUGUGACGACCGGUCUCUAUAGCCAGACUGUCAUCUGUGUACAGCAGACCCUCCUUAGUGGGAGACAGCAGCACCAGGUCAUCUGUGUACAGCAGACCCUCCUUAGUGGGAGACAGCAGACCCUCCUUAGUGGGAGACAGCAGACCCUCCUUAGUGGGAGACAGUAGCACCAGGUCAUCUGUCGACAGCAGACCCUCCUUAGUGGGAGACAGCAGACCCUCCUUAGUGGGAGACAGCAGACCCUCCUUAGUGGGAGACAGCAGACCCUCCUUAGUGGGAGACAGUAGCACCAGGUCAUCUGCGUACAGCAGACACUUGAUUUCAGUGUUGUGUGAGACCAGGUACUGCCGAUUCUUCUAAUGUUUUUGCCAAUUCAUUAAUGUAGAUGUUAAAUAGUGUUGGACUUAUUGGGCAGCCCUGUUUCACUCCCCGUCCCUGAGAGAAGAAGUCUGUUUGCUUGUUGCCAAUUUUAACCACACAUUUGUUUUUAGUGUACAUUGAUUUAAUAACAUCAUAUUUUUUAGUGUGGAGGGUAUAAAUGUGGUUGACUUGUUUGUCUGUUAGUGAGGAGGGUAUAAGUGGGGUCUGUUCUGUGGUGAUUUGGUAAAAAUCCAAGCUGGCUUCUGCUCAGGAUGUUGUGUUCAUCAAGGAAAUUAUGUAGUCUGCUAUUUAUGAUACUGCAAAGAAUUUUCCCUAAAUUGCUGCUAAUGCAAAUUUCUCUAAUUUGGGUUAAAUUUGUCUCCAUUUUUAUUUAUUUUAAAUUUUUCCCCAAAUAUCGAACUUGUGGUCUGUAUAUUUGAUCAUUUAAUUUAAAAUGCCAUCAGCACCACAGGCCUUUUUGGGUUGGAGAGUGCGUAGUUUUUCAAAUAUUUCUUCCGUAAUUGGGGAACAGGAUUCUGAUAGUUUUUGAUUCAAAGUUUUGUAAAUGUUCUUGUGUAUCUUUUUUGUCCUGGGCUCUUUGUUAUAUUGCUGUAGAGGUUUGCAAAGUGAUUUCUCCACAUAUCCCCAUUUUGGAUAGCCAAUUCCUCAUGAUGAGGUUUGUUUAAUUUAUUCCAAUUCUCCCAGAAGUGGUUUAAUUCUAUGGAUUCCUCAGUUCCAUCCAGCUGAUUUCUAAUGUUCUGUUCCUCUGUUCUCAGGGUGUGUUUAUAUUGUUUCAGUGUUUCUCCAUAUUGGGUGUGUUUGUAUUGUUUCAGUGUUUCCCCACAUUGAAGGCCUAUUUUUUUUAUGUCUGGUUCUCUGUGUUUUUGAUUAGAUAUAUUUCUCAAUGACUUCUUUAGAUUUCUCCAAUCAUUAUCAAACCAUUUUUCAUUCUCUAUUCUCUUUGGUUUCCUCUUUUGUGUCUAGAUUAUCCAAGGAGGAUCAUUUGUCAGAUAUAAAGUUUGUUCCAAACGGCCAAAUUUACACCUUCAUUUCUGUAGGAGAAUGUUAAGGCAAAAAAGUUGUCCAGGAGAGAGUUUUUUUUUUUGGGCUACUAAUUGCUUUUUGGUAGAUGUCUGUUCUCACUCCCAUCUAUAGGCCUGUUUAGUACCAUGUCAUUUAUUGGGCCGUCAUGCUUCAUGGUUGGGUGUUAGUGGGCUGACUGUGAAGGCUCUGAGAGAGGUGUUAGUGGGCUGACUGUGAAGGCUCUGAGAGAAGUGUUAGUGGGCUGACUGUGAAGGCUCUGAGAGAGGUGUUAGUGGGCUGACUGUGAAGGCUCUGAGAGACUCUGGGUUUAGGUCGGUGAGGAAGUAGUCUACAGUGCUGCUGCCAAGGGAAGAGCUGAAGGUGGACCUACCAGAAGAGUCCCCUCUCAGCCUACCAUUGACUGUACAGACCCAGUGUUCCACAGAGCUUCAGGAGAAGCUUCCAUUUGAGUUUUUCACUUUGUCAUAGUUGUUUCUGGGGGUAUGUGGGGAGGGAAAGGUUGUUGCUUCACCUCUGCACCAUGUUUCCUGUAGUACUACAGUAUCAACAUCAUCAAUUUCUUUCAGGAAGUCUGCGUUUCUGCGAUUUAGCCCAAAAGCAGAGGACUUAAAUUCUUGUAAAUUCCAACAUGAAAAUAUUUCAUAACAGUUUUUUUUUUCUCUGUCUCUCCCCUCUGUUGGUCUCUCUGUCGGUCUUUCUCUCUCCCUCUCUCUGUCUGGGUCUCUCUCUCCCCCCCUCUCUCUCUGUCGGGGUCUCCCUCUCCCCUCUGUCGGUCUCUCCCCCUCUCGCUGUCGGUCUCUCUCCCCCUCUCUUUCUCUCUCUCCCCCUGUCUCUUUUUCUGUCGGGGUCUCGCUCUGUCGGUCGCUGUCGGGGUCUCUCUCUCCCCCUCUCUCUCUCGGGGUCUCUCUCUCCCCUCUGUCUGUCUCUCCCCCUCUCGCUGUCGGUCUCUCCACCUCUCUCUCUCUCUGUUGGGGUCUCUCUCUCUCUGUCGGGGUCUCUCUCUCCCCCUCUCUCUCUCCCCAUAUCCACUCUCUCUCUAGUCUCUGUUGAGAGUGUCUCAUUCCCAGCCCAGCUCCCCUGGGCCCCCCCUACAGGGUAGAGAUGGUACUAUCCUACCCAGUCUGAUUCCCAUCCAGACUUCUUCGGCCUGGUCCAUGUUCGGCUCCGGGGAGGCUGUCCAUCUGCCAGGGGACGACAGGGAGGGCGAGAAUCCUGUCCCAGACCAUGAUGGACCCUCCACCUCCAAAUCGAUCCCGCUCCAAAGUACUGGCCUCGGCGUAACGCUCAUUCCUUCGACGAUAAACGUGAAUCCAACCAUCACACCUGUGGGUCGAGCAGCAGCAUGAUCGCAAUCGACAACAAGAUAGAGCAAGCCAUGGACCUUGUAAAGACCCACCUGAUGCUGGCGGUCAGAGAGGAAGUGGAGUUGCUAUGGGAACAGAUUAAAGAACUAUCAGAAAGGAACGCCCAGCUGGAGAGAGAGAACUAUAUCCUGAGAACUCUGAGAGACAGAGACUGACACAGCAACAAAAUGUUACACUCCUCUCAUGAUCGUUGUUUAAAUUAGUAAUACCUGUAACAUGACUGAUGAAUGAUUCUGUCUAACGGCAGAAAACAAUAAUAAAUAACUGUGACUAAAGAG